AUGCAAGUCGAGCGGAGACUUAUCAGAUGAGGGCUUCGGCAGGAUUCGGGAAGUUUAGCGGCGGACGGGUGAGUAACGCGUGAGCAAUCUGUCUCAGACAGGGGGAUAACGCAGCGAAAGUUGCACUAAUACCGCAUGAGACCACAGGGCCACAUGGCCAAGGGGUCAAAGGAGCAAUCCGGUCUGAGGUGAGCUCGCGUCCUAUUAGGUAGUUGGUGAGGUAACGGCCCACCAAGCCGACGAUAGGUAGCCGACCUGAGAGGGUGAUCGGCCACACUGGAACUGAGACACGGUCCAGACUCCUACGGGAGGCAGCAGUGGGGAAUAUUGGGCAAUGGGCGAAAGCCUGAACCCCCAGCAACGCCGCGUGAGUGAAGAAGGUCUUCGGAUUGUAAAUCUCUGUCCUAAGAGAAGAGGGGAAGACGGUAUCUUAGGAGGAAGCCCCGGCUAACUACGUGCCAGCAGCUGC
rnacentral:rRNA from 1 species